rnacentral:rRNA from 1 species
UUAACACAUGCAAGUCGAGGGGCAGCAUGGUCUUAGCUUGCUAAGGCCGAUGGCGACCGGCGCACGGGUGAGUAACACGUAUCCAACCUGCCGUCUACUCUUGGACAGCCUUCUGAAAGGAAGAUUAAUACAAGAUGGCAUCAUGAGUCCGCAUGUUCACAUGAUUAAAGGUAUUCCGGUAGACGAUGGGGAUGCGUUCCAUUAGAUAGUAGGCGGGGUAACGGCCCACCUAGUCUUCGAUGGAUAGGGGUUCUGAGAGGAAGGUCCCCCACAUUGGAACUGAGACACGGUCCAAACUCCUACGGGAGGCAGCAGUGAGGAAUAUUGGUCAAUGGGUGAGAGCCUGAACCAGCCAAGUAGCGUGAAGGAUGACUGCCCUAUGGGUUGUAAACUUCUUUUAUAAAGGAAUAAAGUCGGGUAUGGAUACCCGUUUGCAUGUACUUUAUGAAUAAGGAUCGGCUAACUCCGUGCCAGCAGCCGCGGUAAUACGGAGGAUCCGAGCGUUAUCCUGAUUUAUUGGGUUUAAAGGGAGCGUAGAUGGAUGUUUAAGUCAGUUGUGAAAGUUUGCGGCUCAACCGUAAAAUUGCAGUUGAUACUGGAUAUCUUGAGUGCAGUUGAGGCAGGCGGAAUUCGUGGUGUAGCGGUGAAAUGCUUAGAUAUCACGAAGAACUCCGAUUGCGAAGGCAGCCUGCUAAGCUGCAACUGACAUUGAGGCUCGAAAGUGUGGGUAUCAAACAGGAUUAGAUACCCUGGUAGUCCACACGGUAAACGAUGAAUACUCGCUGUUUGCGAUAUACUGCAAGCGGCCAAGCGAAAGCGUUAAGUAUUCCACCUGGGGAGUACGCCGGCAACGGUGAAACUCAAAGGAAUUGACGGGGGCCCGCACAAGCGGAGGAACAUGUGGUUUAAUUCGAUGAUACGCGAGGAACCUUACCCGGGCUUAAAUUGCAGAUGAAUUACGGUGAAAGCCGUAAGCCGCAAGGCAUCUGGGAAGGUGCUGCAUGGUUGUCGUCAGCUCGUGCCGUGAGGUGUCGGCUUAAGUGCCAUAACGAGCGCAACCCUUGUUGUCAGUUACUAACAGGUUCCGCUGAGGACUCUGACAAGACUGCCAUCGUAAGAUGUGAGGAAGGUGGGGAUGACGUCAAAUCAGCACGGCCCUUACGUCCGGGGCUACACACGUGUUACAAUGGGGGGUACAGAGGGCCGCUACCACGCGAGUGGAUGCCAAUCCCCAAAACCUCUCUCAGUUCGGACUGGAGUCUGCAACCCGACUCCACGAAGCUGGAUUCGCUAGUAAUCGCGCAUCAGCCACGGCGCGGUGAAUACGUUCCCGGGCCUUGUACACACCGCCCGUCAAGCCAUGGGAGCCGGGGGUACCUGAAGUGCGUAACCGCGAGGAGCGCCCUAGGGUAAAACUGGUGACUGGGGCUAAGUC